GACGAACGCUGGCGGCGUGCUUAACACAUGCAAGUCGAACGGUGAAGCGCCUUCCUUUUUGGUGGGUGUGGAUGAGUGGCGAACGGGUGAGUAACACGUGAGUAACCUGCCCCCUUCUUCUGGAUAACCGCAUGAAAGUGUGGCUAAUACGGGAUAUUCUGGGUCUGUCGCAUGAUGGGUCUGGGAAAGAUAUUGUUUCGGUGGGGGAUGGGCUCGCGGCCUAUCAGCUUGUUGGUGGGGUGAUGGCCUACCAAGGCGGUGACGGGUAGCCGGCCUGAGAGGGUGGACGGUCACACUGGGACUGAGACACGGCCCAGACUCCGACGGGAGGCAGCAGUGGGGAAUAGUGCACAAUGGGCGCAAGCCUGAUGCAGCGACGCCGCGGGAGGGAUGGAGGCCUUCGGGUUGUGAACCUCUUUCGCCAGUGAAGCAGGCCUGCCUCGUUUGUGGGUGGGUUGACGGUAGCUGGAUAAGAAGCGCCGGCUAACUACGUG
rnacentral:rRNA from 1 species